rnacentral:rRNA from 1 species
GUACACUCCUACGGGAGGCAGCAGUGGGGAAUUUUGGACAAUGGGCGAAAGCCUGAUCCAGCAAUGCCGCGUGCAGGAUGAAGGCCUUCGGGUUGUAAACUGCUUUUGUACGGAACGAAAAAGCUCCUUCUAAUACAGGGGGCCCAUGACGGUACCGUAAGAAUAAGCACCGGCUAACUACGUGCCAGCAGCCGCGGUAAUACGUAGGGUGCGAGCGUUAAUCGGAAUUACUGGGCGUAAAGCGUGCGCAGGCGGUUAUGUAAGACAGAUGUGAAAUCCCCGGGCUCAACCUGGGAACUGCAUUUGUGACUGCAUGGCUAGAGUACGGUAGAGGGGGAUGGAAUUCCGCGUGUAGCAGUGAAAUGCGUAGAUAUGCGGAGGAACACCGAUGGCGAAGGCAAUCCCCUGGACCUGUACUGACGCUCAUGCACGAAAGCGUGGGGAGCAAACAGGAUUAGAUACCCGUGUAGUCCCA